rnacentral:rRNA from 1 species
GGUCAAAUCAUCAUGCCUCUUACAUCUAGGGCUACAGGCGUGCUACAAUGGCUGGUACAACGAGUCGCGAAACGGCAACGUUUAGCUAAUCUCUGAAAGCCAGUCUCAGUUCGGAUUGGAGUCUGCAACUCGACUCCAUGAAGUUGGAAUCGCUAGUAAUCCCGAAUCAGAAUGUCGGGGUGAAUACGUUCUCGGGUGUU